UACGUAGGGCGCAAGCGUUGUCCGGAAUUAUUGGGCGUAAAGAGCUCGUAGGCGGUUUGUCGCGUCUGCUGUGAAAACCUAAGGCUCAACCUUGGGCUUGCAGUGGGUACGGGCAGACUAGAGUGCGGUAGGGGUGACUGGAAUUCCUGGUGUAGCGGUGGAAUGCGCAGAUAUUGGGAAGAACACCAGUGGCGAAGGCGGUUCUCUGGGACGGUACUGACGCUGAGGCGCGAAAGCGUGGGGAGCAAACAGG
rnacentral:rRNA from 1 species